UCCAGGUCCUUCCUGCUCAAGUUGAGCGACUGUGUAACCAGUUAAUGUUUUCAAGUGCCCAGAAAUGAUGGAUAAUGACAAGAACAUUUUUGUUUUUUGUUUCAGUGAACUUGAAGAACAUACGUAUGUGGAGAAUGCCCAGGGGAAAGUCUGAUGAACCACCUGUCCUGUCCCAGCUCUUGAUAUGUCUGUCAGAUGGGUUGAUGAAAUUCUGGAAGCUGAUUCUACUAAGGAUGUUUUAGAGUUUGUCCACCAGCUUGCUGCAAGGAGACCUGGCAGGAUGAGUUUUUGCUGCUCUAAUGAGGUUUACACACAGGAUUCCAUCAAAGUCAAAGUGUGCCGACGCCUGGACGCCUACCUAAGCCCUGCCAUGGUGAGACUGGAGGAAGCGAAGGCCCAAGGCGCUCGCAGGGGGUCCACACAGCUUGGGAUUGCCCUCCCUGUCCUCAGGCACCCUCACAUGAGCCAACAAAUAGUAGUCACCAAUUAACAUCAGGGACAAGAGAGGACAACCAGAAUGCCAAGAGGAAAGCCCACAACAGAGUCUAGUGGAGCAUGCAAACCAAACAUAGAAGCCUGAAAUCUGGAGCUGUGCCACCAACUGAGCCACCAACCCUGCAGUACCAAAAUGAAUGCAAACAACCAACUGACUACCAGCAGAAUGGAGUGCUUCUCAGUGUAAUGAUCUUGAGAGAAAAAUGAGACCUGAGCUAACAAAGUAACAAUUACAUAAUCAAAGAAAAUCAAAGAACAGGCUAGAGGUUAGAACACUGGGGAGAUGAAGCAAAACCAACAGACAACAUACAAAACAUUAACUCAAUGGCAAGUGAUCAAAAACCUUUCCCUAACUGAAUCUUGAAGUUUACUGUUUAUUCUGGAACUGAUUUUUCAACAAACUUUCACCCAAUGAUACUCGGCUGGUAGGUUGUUCCAAACAUCUUGGAGAACUAACCACAGAUCUUCUGUGGAUGUCGGCUUCCUCACAUCCUUCUGUCUCUUCAUGUAAUCCCAGACACACUCGAUGAUGUUGAGAUCAGGGCUCUGUGGGGGCCAUACCAUCAUUUCCAGGACUUCUUGUUCUUCUUUACACUGAAGAUAGUUCUUAAUGACUUUGGCUGUAUGUUUGGGGUCGUUGUCCUGCUGCAGAAUAAAUUUGGGGUCAAUCAUACGCCUCCCUGAUGGUAUUGUAUGAUGGAUAAGUAUCUGCCUGUAUUUCUCAGCAUUGAGAACACCAUUAAUCCUGACCAAAUCUCCAACUCCAUUUGCAGAAAUGCAGCCCCAAAUGUUCAAGGAACCUCCACCAUGCUUCACUGUUGCCUGCAGACACAAAUUAUUGUACCGCUCUCCAGCCCUUCGACGAACAAACUGCCUUCUGCUACAGCCAAAUAUUUCAAAUUUUGACUCAUCAGUCCAGAGCACCUGCUGCCAUUUUUCUGCACCCCAGUUCCUAUGUUUUCGUACAUACUUGAGUCACUUGGCUUUGAUUCCACGUCGGAGGUAUGGCUUUUUGGCUGCAACUCUUCCAUGAAGACCACUUCUGGCCAGACUUCUCCGGACAGUAGAUGGGUGUACCUGGGUCCCACUGGUUUCUGCCAGUCCUGACCUGAUGGCACUGCUGGACAUCUUCUGAUUUCGAAGGGUAAUAAGCUUGAUGUGUCUUUCAUCUGCUGCACUAAGUUUCCUUGGCCGACCACUGCGUCUACGAUCCUCAACGUUGCCCGUUUCUUUGUGUUUCUUCAAAAGAGCUUGAACAGCACAUCUUAAAACCCCAGUCUGCUUUGAAAUCUUUGUCUGGGAGAGACCUUGCUGAUGCAGUAGAACUACCUUGUGUCUUGUUGCUGUGCUCAAUCUUGCCAUGACAUGAAACUGUCUUCCACAACCUCACCUUGGUAACAGAGUUUGGCUGUUCCUCACCCAGUUUUAAGCCUCCUACACAGCUGUUUGUUUCAGUUAAUGACUGUGUUUCAACCUACGUGUGACAUUGAUGAUCAUUAGCACCUGUUUGGUAUAAUUGGUUGAUCAUACACCUGACUAGAAUCCUACAAAAUCCCUGACUGUGCAAGUGGACCUAUAAGAAUUGAUGCUGGUUUGAAGGCAAAAGGUAGUAACACCAAAUAUUGAUUUGAUUUCGAUUUUUCUUUUGUUCGCUCACUUUGCAUUUUGUAAAUUGAUAACAAUAAACAAUCAUUAUUUAUAUUUCUGAAA